rnacentral:rRNA from 1 species
AUUGAACGCUGGCGGCAUGCCUUACACAUGCAAGUCGAACGGCAGCACGGGGCAACCUGGUGGCGAGUGGCGAACGGGUGAGUAAUGCAUCGGAACGUACCUUUCAGUGGGGGAUAACGUAGCGAAAGUUACGCUAAUACCGCAUAUUCUGUGAGCAGGAAAGCAGGGGAUCGCAAGACCUUGCGCUGAUUGAGCGGCCGAUGUCAGAUUAGCUAGUUGGUGAGGUAAAGGCUCACCAAGGCGACGAUCUGUAGCGGGUCUGAGGGGAUGAUCCGCCACACUGGAACUGAGACACGGUCCAGACUCCUACGGGAGGCAGCAAUGGGGAAUUUUGGACAAUGGGGGCAACCCUGAUCCAGCCAUGCCGCGUGAGUGAAGAAGGCCUUCGGGUUGUAAAGCUCUUUCGGCCGGGAAGAAAUCGCACGGGCUAAUACCCUGUGUGGAUGACGGUACCGGAAUAAGAAGCACCGGCUAACUACGUGCCAGCAGCCGCCGUAAUAC